rnacentral:rRNA from 1 species
GACGAACGCUGGCGGCGUGCCUAAUACAUGCAAGUAGAACGCACAGUUUAUACCGUAGCUUGCUACACCAUAGACUGUGAGUUGCGAACGGGUGAGUAACGCGUAGGUAACCUGCCUGGUAGCGGGGGAUAACUAUUGGAAACGAUAGCUAAUACCGCAUCAUAUUGAUUAUUGCAUGAUAAUUGAUUGAAAGAUGCUAUUGCAUCACUACCAGAUGGACCUGCGUUGUAUUAGCUAGUAGGUGAGGUAACGGCUCACCUAAGCGACGAUACAUAGCCGACCUGGGAGGGUGAUCGGCCACACUUGGACUGAGACACGGCCCAGACUCCUACGGGAGGCAGCAGUAGGGAAUCUUCGGCAAUGGACGAAAGUCUGACCGAGCAACGCCGCGUGAGUGAAGAAGGUUUUCGGAUCGUAAAGCUCUGUUGUAAGAGAAGAACGGGUGUGAGAGUGGAAAGUUCACACUGUGACGGUAUCUUACCAGAAAGGGACGGCUAACUACGUG